UACGAAGGGGGCUAGCGUUGUUCGGAAUUACUGGGCGUAAAGCGCACGUAGGCGGAUAUUUAAGUCAGGGGUUAAAUCCCGCAGCUCAACUGCGGAACUGCCUUUGAUACUGGGUAUCUUGAGUAUGGAAGAGGUUAGUGGAAUUGCGAGUGUAGAAGUGAAAUUCGUAGAUAUUCGCAGGAACACCAGUGGCGAAGGCGGCUAACUGGUCCAUAACUGACGCUGAGGUGCGAAAGCGUGGGGAGCAAACAGG
rnacentral:rRNA from 1 species